AAAGAUAACUUUUAAAAACACCAGUAUAGGCUCAUGAGGCCCUGAUAGUAAAAAAACUACAUUUCCGCGAAAAUGACGUCACUUCCGGUUUCGGGCAGGUAAUGGCGGACAUGCGAAAGUUCGGGCUGACGUCUAUUCCAGCAUAGGAAGUGUUUUACGAACAGCUGAUCGGAUUGGCAAAGCGUGUUUCUGGAAUAUUAUGUUUUUGUUGCUGCAAGCGCUUUUUAUGCAGUUUUUGCAAAGCUAUAUGUGGAAGGAAACCGUGACCUAGGACAAGCUGAUGGCAUAAGAUUAUUGUGCAAGCUACAAUGGAGUGGCUGUAGUUCAGGAGAUAAAGCAGAUCAUCUACUAAUCUGAAGUGUGGCUUCACUGUAAGGGAACAACACAAGGUCCUGCUGUGUGUACCUGUACAGGUGAGUACUGACCUGUCAAUGCUGAUAGCGCAGAGAUUGAAGAUGGAGGCAGUACACAACAUA